AUGUCGAGGCCGAGGUUGGACGGCAAGGUGGCCAUCGUGACGGGCGGCGCGAGCGGCAUCGGCGAGGCGGCCGCGCGGCUCUUCGCGGCCAGCGGCGCCACGGUGGUCAUCGCGGACAUACAGGACGCGCUGGGCGAGGCGGUCGCGGCCUCCAUCGCGGAGUCCGGCGCGUGCUGCACGUACGCGCGGUGCGACGUGACGGACGAGGCCCAGGUGGAGGCCACGGUGGCGGCGGCCGUCGCGGCGCACGGCCGGCUCGACGUCAUGCUCAGCAACGCCGGCGUGCUGCUCCCGACGGGCCCCGUCACGGACAUGGACCUGUCCGCGCUGGACCGCGUCAUGGCCGUCAACUUCCGGGGCGCCGCAGCGUGCGUCAAGCACGCGGCCCGCGCCAUGGUGGCGGCCGGCGUCCGGGGCGCCAUCGUGUGCACGGGGAGCGUGGCGUGCGUGCAGGGCGGGUUCGGCCCGGCGUCGUACACGGCGUCCAAGCACGCGCUGCUGGGCCUGGUGCGCGCCGCGGCGGGCGAGCUCGGGCGGCACGGCGUGCGCGUCAACCUCGUGUCGCCCGGCGGAGUGGCGACGCCGCUCAGCUGCGCCGUGGUGGGCGUGGGAGCCGAGGAGAUGGAGGCCAUGACAGAGGCCCACAACGUGCUGCGCGGGAAGGUGCUGCGCGCGGCCGACGUGGCGGAAGCGGCGCUGUUCCUCGCGUCCGACCAGGCCGGCUUCAUCAGCGGCCACAACCUCGUCGUCGACGGCGCCACCACCGCCGUGAACCCCGCCGUGCUGCGCUCUAUCGGGCUGUGA
rnacentral:rRNA from 1 species